UACGUAGGGGGCGAGCGUUGUCCGGAAUCAUUGGGCGUAAAGAGCGUGUAGGCGGCUUGGCAAGUCUGACGUGAAAGCCCGCGGCUCAACCGCGGAUUGUCGUUGGAAACUGCCUCGCUAGAGUCCGGAAGAGGAGAGCGGAAUUCCUGGUGUAGCGGUGGAAUGCGCAGAUAUCAGGAAGAACACCCGUGGCGAAGGCGGCUCUCUAGGACGGUACUGACGCUGAGACGCGAAAGCGUGGGGAGCGAACAGG
rnacentral:rRNA from 1 species